CUGUUCUUCGUAGAACCUCCAAACACCACACAGAACACUUUUACAAGAUGGCUACCGCGCGCCCACUUUGAUCAAUUUGAAUCAAAUGCGCAAAACAAUUAAUUUUCCAGCCAGUUGUAAAUCGUAUAGAAUCCAUCGGGAACCAGGAUCGCCAGAAAAUUCCAUCCAUCAAAUCCAUAAGAUCUACAAAUAUGAAAAUAACGCAGAGAAUGAUGGCGCUGCGUUUCGAGAAAAAUAAGCCGUGUAUAAAGGAUUCAAAAUAACGCGAUACAAAUCUGAAUCAGAGAUCGAAAAAAUGAUAGAAUUUUGGAUUCGUAACAGAGAAUAUAAAUUAUCAUGACAUCGAGUUGGUGAAGUUGGAGUUCAAUAAAAUUUUGGUGUUUCGAAACUAAUGGAGAUGAUGGCGAGAUAACCGAAUAGGAAACACUGAAAUGGAAAACGCUGAACGAGAAACCGGAGAAACACGAAAACGUCCUUCCUCACUGCAUUGUUGGCUACGAAAACAAUUGUAUCCCACAACCUGACCACUUGACCGGCCGAAAUCGUUGGCGAUGAUCGUCUGCUGUUAUUUAACACCAUCCGCAAGCUAAGUCAAAAUUACAGCAAUUUUUAUUUCACUCUACAUCGCUUUCAUAUUUACAAUUAAUAUACAAUUAUGAACUUAAUUUUAGUUUUAGUAUAUCGGGUCUAAAUCAAAAUACGACGAAGAUCCUGCA